rnacentral:rRNA from 1 species
UAGGGAAUCUUCGGCAAUGGGGGCAACCCUGACCGAGCAACGCCGCGUGAGUGAAGAAGGUUUUCGGAUCGUAAAGCUCUGUUGUAAGAGAAGAACGUGUGUGAGAGUGGAAAGUUCACACAGUGACGGUAACUUACCAGAAAGGGACGGCUAACUACGUGCCAGCAGCCGCGGUAAUACGUAGGUCCCGAGCGUUGUCCGGAUUUAUUGGGCGUAAAGCGAGCGCAGGCGGUUUAAUAAGUCUGAAGUUAAAGGCAGUGGCUUAACCAUUGUUCGCUUUGGAAACUGUUAAACUUGAGUGCAGAAGGGGAGAGUGGAAUUCCAUGUGUAGCGGUGAAAUGCGUAGAUAUAUGGAGGAACACCGGUGGCGAAAGCGGCUCUCUGGUCUGUAUCUGACGCUGAGGCUCGAAAGCGUGGGGAGCAAACAGG